rnacentral:lncRNA from 1 species
AUUUUUUUUAAUUUUUUUCUGAAUUAUGCUAUUUCGAAAUUCAAACCCUAAACCUUAAAACCUAACUCUAAACCCUAAACCAUUAAUCCUAAACCCUAUUUUCUUUUAAAUACGAACCCUAAACCCUAAACCCUAAACCCUAAACCAUCAAUCCUAAACCCUAUUUUUUUUAAAUAAACCCAAAACCCUGAAACAUCAACUCUAAACCCUAAAUCCUAAACCCUAAAACAUCAACUCUAAACCCUAAACCCUAAACUUCAACUCUAAACCCUAAACCAUCGACACUAGACCCUAAACUAUCAACACUAAAUCAUAAAUCCUAAAAAGUAAACUCUA